UCGUGAUCAGUUGCGCUUAAUAUACUAAACUCGUUUUGAAAAUUUUAUAAUAUUACAGUAUCAAGUAAGUUAUUUUAGACUUGUUUAUACAUACAGGAUGUGUUAUUAAUUGUGUACAUCAAAAUAAUGGUUUGAAACGCAUAGCUCGUUAUCAAAGGCCUAUUUUCUGCAUUCUGCAAACAAUAAUUUUCAAGACUGUCUAAAUGUGAUGAUUUGUGGAUACUACUGAGACUGACCUGUUUCGAAAAUUCUAUAAUGGAAAGUGAGGAACUGGAUUCAGAACUAUUUACAAAUUGAGUGCGAGGCUCAAAAGGACUAGAAUACUUACAAGAAGGUCUUCAAGAAUUUGUUGGAGAAAAAGUACUACAAUGUCGUGAUAAUACUCUUCAAAAGAUAAUAUUGACAUUACCAUCUGGAUUACCACAGCAGUGCAACCAGUGUACGGAAAAUAAUCUUUCUCCAGAACAUUUCAACACUACCAAGGCAUGUAGCAGACACACAUGUCACCAAAAGAGCCCGACCAACUGUUUUGGAAGCAGGCCAGUCGGGCGUCGGAAAUGCCCUGACGGCAUAUGUAGUAAAUUUUACGACGCUAUUAUAGAUGAGCAUGCAUUUAGAGACCCAUUAUGGAAGGACACGGAUCCAAGUACGUGGUGUACGGAUCCACGUGGAUGGAGUUAUGCAAAAUGUUUCCAAACAACUAAAGGUCCAGGGACAUCAGCUAAAGAUACAGACGCUGCUGGUCUGCUCAGCAUUAUUAUAAACAACACGUCAAUGCAAAUCUUUGUGGCCAAUAUUAAUCCUUAUACCACUACCAGUUCAUUUCUUUUGGCGAGAGACUUCCGAAAUGAAAUCUUACAUUAUUAGCUCAAAGCUUGAAAUCGACGAAACAAAUCUAUGUUCUUAUUCGGACGAGUUCAUUGCAGUUCUUCAAGAUCCAAAGUGUCUGAUUAACGAUUGUGCAUCAAAGAAAGCGGUUCAUAAACUAACACAGCCUGCAAUUUUGCAGCAACUAAAACGCAAAAGGCACUCAAAAGGAAAACAGCAGAAAGCCAGAUGAAAUGUAUAAAUCCUCCAAUGAAAGCACAUACUUGAAAAGGAAGUGAUGGUUUUCCGACUCCAAACUGAAAUACCACCUGUGCAAGUAAUACAUGACAUAAAGCUAGCCUGAACACUUUGCUUGGUAGAGAUUGUGUGUUUGCCGACAUAGAAUAUACCACAAGACAUAUAAGUAUACAUAGUAUUGACAGAGAGGAUAAAAUAAGGGUUAUCAGUCCUUUUAUUGAAUAACUACUGGUUUUUGUAAUCGGCGAUUUUUGAGUUAAUGAUAUAAAGGUUUCAUGGCAUACAAAAUACAAAGUUAUAGAUUCAUUAUUAAUAUAGUAUUCUCUUGACACAAAACCAUCUAUUGUAUUUGAUUCAUAGUGACCUUUUUUGCCUUGUUGUAUCCGAGUUGAAAAUUUAUUUAUCGAUGCAAUCUUUUUGUAUUCUGUUUCUAGCAAAUAAAUGUAUGGACAAGGGAGAGAUUCAGUUUCAACGGGAUAGAAAUUAGAAAAUUGGUCAAGGAA